UACAAACAUGGUUCGUACACGGUUUUCUUCAAGAUAUGCUCCAUCUACAAUAAUUCUCCUCAUUCUAAAUAUAAAUAGAAAACUUCAGUUCUUCUUGAAGCAAGAGGGGAGAAAAUAUACUCUAGUAGCGAACAUGAAGCUAAGAAAGCCAAAAUAUCUAAAUAGACUCAACUAACUAUUGAGGAACCUUCACAUUACCCUCCUGAGGAUUUGAGCAACCCCUGGUAGCAGGUUGUGGUCAUGGAGGAAAAUUUAUCUACAACAAAAACAUAGAAAGGGUUGUUGUAUUGUUUCAAGGGUUGUUUAAAUGGUUGUUGUUUUGGUUGCUUAACUAGUUGUUGUGUGAGUUACUUUCUAUGUUGUUAUAAAGGGUUGUUGUAUUGUUUCAGGUGUUGCUUAAGAGGGUUUUGUGUGAGUUUUUUACCAUGUUGUUUAUGGGUUGCUUAGGAGUUUAUAGGGUUGUUUUAUAUGUUGCUACCUAGGGUUACUAUAUUGUUUCAAGGGUUGCUUGAUUGGUUUCUG